UGUGGUGACUCACACAGAAAGUUCCAGGCCAGCCAGGGCUAGAAAAUAAUGACAGCAUCAAAAAGCUCAGCUCUCAGAGAUAUUGCCAAUACUGGGUUUAACCUUUCAGAUUAUUUUUGUUGUUGUUGUUUAAGAAAUGCCAUAGACUUUAAUUAAUUGCAGACAUCUCUUUUGUUGUGUUUUAGUAGUCUGUAAUAAUAUGCCCGUCUGCCUUUUGAAUACGUUGUAAUACUUUGUCGAAAUAUUGUCAAGUUACAAAGACUCAAGACUAAACAAAGCCGGAGCCUCACCGCCCUGUCACCAGCGGAGUGAAGAGUCAGAACAGGGACAUCCUCCACUGUUUCAUCCCGAAACGGGUUGACUGUCCAAAGAACAGUUUUGUCACCUAUUUGUUAGCUUUAAAAAAUGAGAUGAAAGUUGAAAACUAGGCAUCACUCCACAGUUCUUUGAAGCCUCAACAUCCGACUUAGGACAUUUUUGAACCCCCCCCAUCAAAAACUCCAAGAACUGUAUGAGCAGAUGUGCUGCUUAGUGAAGGUGAACUUGGGGGCCAUGGGUCUUUGCCUCUUCCAGGUAUCACAACUGUUCUGAACUCUGUGCCAUUCAGCCAACCAUUGGGUCCAGAGAUAGCUUGGGAACCACUCCACAACGUUAAUGUGUGUUAGCAACAGUUACAGAUUCAAUGAAAAAGAUGCUUUUAUAAGGAAGAAAUUUCAAAUGUUUAUGAGUCAGCUGGAAUUAUCUGAAACCUACAGGAAAAAUGUCACAACUACAGAGAGCUGUGUCUGGGUAUGAAGGAAAUUUCAUCAUGACUUGAAGACAAUGAGCUGAAGUGCUGUUGUAUUCUGAUGCCUUUUGUAUUAUUUCAAGCAAUAGAGCAUUGCAUGUUGUCCAUGAAGGACGAGACAGAGCCUCAGAGGACACUUGCACCAGGCAAGGGCGCUCAGGACCGUAAUUCUGUUAAGAACAAGAAAGCCAUUCCUGACGAUGGUGGGACAUGACGAAUGUCGCUGCCAUUUGCAGGCUCUACAUGCGCAGUUCUUGUGACCAGGAACCCGAAAAAGGAUAAUUAGAAAAACAUACCCAAGGAUUUGGGAGCCAUCUCAAGCAUAAAAUCUAAUAAAGAAAACAUAUUUGGGGAAGAAAGCUGAUUCCUCAUAAAAACUCUGAAAA